GCUCAGGCAUGCUACCCUAAACAUGCCUGAUCCCAGCAAUCCCAUCUGAUUUUGGAAACUAAGCAGGGUCCGGCCUGGUUAGUACGUGGAUGGGAGACUACCUAGGAAGACCAGAUGCUGUAGGUG
ensembl:rRNA 5S_rRNA 5S ribosomal RNA